rnacentral:sRNA from 1 species
AAGCUUCGACUAAGGUUCGAUUCGAGCGCAGCGAGAAAGCGUUGCCAACGGCAACGACCCGAAGGGCGAAGCGCGCAGCGCUGAGUAAUCCUUCCCCCACCACCA